rnacentral:tRNA from 1 species
GGAGCCGUGUAUGAGCGGUCGAAGUAACAUCUUUGCUAAAGAUGCAGGGGCUUUUAAACCCCUCGAGGGUUCGAAUCCCUCCGGCUCCG